GCCAGCUGGAGCUAAAUGACAUCCAUGAAAGUUGAGCCUCAGAUACGUGGAAUGAGCAUCAACGGAACUACAAGCAAGAGAAAGGCUUGAGACUAGUGAAAGAGGUCUCUAGGCAAUGAGUUGCCUCCUACAUUAGUGGGAUGAGCUUACCUAUGGGAAGUUUUCCCUUCUGGAGAAUCCUCAGUGAGAGAGAUACUCCCUCCACCCCCUCCUUCUCUUCACAUUCUGCUGCUAAUGAGAGACUAAAGCUUUCUGUUGAGAUAAACAGCUAUGCCUACAAUAUAUAGCCCCAAAACAUCAAGGUAACACACCACAGUUUGCUGUGUUAGGUGGACAAGUGGACCAAUGCUGCUUCUGUAGUGGGAGAUAGGUCUGAAUAGGGAGACUCAAAUGUGGGACUCAUCCAUGGAUGAGAACAUGAGCAGUUUAGUGUGAGGGUACUACAUGUUCACUACAGCAAACAGGGAUACUGGGAGGAGUUU
rnacentral:lncRNA from 1 species